AUCAUAUUACACUUGAAAUAAGACAAAACUAACUUAAAAUAACUUUUUUUAUCAAGAUAUAGGGACUUGUUCUAAGUCAAUAAUUACUUAAUAUUCAU